rnacentral:lncRNA from 1 species
CCCCUCACCACUCUGUUAUUAUAACAUGUAGGUGGAGCUCCUCCCACCUGUUAUUAUAUCAUGUAGGUGGAGCUCCUCCUCACCACUGUUAUUAUACAGUAGGGGAGCUCCUCCUCACCACUCUGUUAUAUACUUUAGGUGGAGCUCCCUCACCACUCUGUUAUUAUAUCAUGUAGGUGAGCUCCUCCUCACCACUGUUAUUAUAUCAUGUAGGUGGAGCUCCUCCUCAUCACUCUGUUAUUAUUAUAACAUGUAGGUGGAGCUCCUCCUCACCACUGUUAUUAUAUCAUGUAGGUGGAGCUCCUCCCACACCUGUUAUUAAACAUGUAGGUGGGCUCCUCC